GCCCACAUAGCUCAGUGGUAGAGCACUUCUUUGGUAAAGAAGAGGUCCUGGGUCCGAUUCCCAGUGUGGGCU
rfam:Chthonomonas calidirosea T49 complete genome